CUUGCUUAUAAAACUUUCUACGGGUAGCUAUUAGAAAAAUGAAAUUUAUGGAAUGAAAACUUAGCUAAAAUAUUCGGAUUUAAUUUUGUGUCACUGAUUUCAUCAAAAUAUCUUGACCUUAUUAAACAACUACUUCGACUUUUCAACAAAGAGAGAGGCUGACCAAUAUAGUUGAAUUAUACACAUCGCUUUCUUUCUGUGACCGGAUUUCCAUCACAAUCGCUACUACUAUUUAACAAGGUUAACAAUAAUAAAAAAAUCGAAUAAAAGUUAACAAUUAUACCUAUCUCUAAUAUACUGAACAAAACAUUAGCCAGCCUUUACACUGCAGCAGCUAAAACUUAUAUUCCCUUGCCCAUGAUACUCAGCAACAACAUCAUGAAUACAAAAAAGUAAGUCAUCCAAGGAAAUUUAUGAGUUCAAAAAAUGGAAUAAAGUAUUACACAUUCACUACUUUAGAUUGUAUAGCUCCAGGGUAAACUGUCGUUCCUUAAUACUUUUGUUACUUAUGCACCGAAUUCGACUAUUUCGCAUUCAUUAGUGAUAGACGUGAAUCAACAAAUCCAAGGGGUGUAGAUAGUUUAUAAUUUAUCUUGUAACGCAGUUUGUUUAUCACAUACUCUCUUAGAAUUUGACAGUCAUGACAACGACCACGGUAGCAAUUGCAUUUCAUAUGCAUAAUAUGAAAAUACUUUUUUUUUACGAUAGCUUUUAAUCGGCUUGGUGAAACCGUUGUUAAUAUUCAAACAACAUUUUGAUGUCUUCAAUUGACUGAACCUGCUGCUUUCCUUCCGACAUGCCCAGGGUCCCAGUAAUAAAAUUUUUGCGUUCUUGUAUUUUGAGCAUCCUUUCCUCAACAGUAUCACGUACAAUAUAUCUCGUCACAAAUACAGGCUUUUCCUGUCCUAAACGAUGAAUACGAUCGAUGGCCUGUGCUUCCACUGACCAGCUCCACCAUGGAUCCAUAAUAAAAACAUGGUUGGCACAAGUAAGGUUUAAACCAACCCCGCCUGCCUUUAAAGAGAUAAUCAGCACGUUAACAUCAGGAUCAUUUCGAAAUGUCUCUAAAGCCGUCGACCUCAUUUGUUGUGACAUGGUACCAUCGAAUCUAGCAUACCCCAUCUUCUCUGACUCGAGAACGUCUGCGAUAAUAUCCAGGAAUGUGGUAAACUGUGAAAAGAUAACGACCUUUUCAGGUUCAGAACUAUGAGUUAAUUGACGCAAUUGUCCUAAAAGGCCAUUAAGUUUCACUGAUUGUAGCCUAUUCCAAUAUUUCCAUUUUACUUCCUCACCGACUAAAAGCGUAGACUGUGUUCCGUUAUUUUUGACAAAAAAAGGUUUAUAGACAUCUUGCUCAUUGAAGGGUUGACGACAUGUAUGACAAAGCGGAGGAAUUAUGUUUCUUCUUUUUUGAUACUGAAUAUGUUCUGACAAACAAUCUCCGCAACAAGCAUGCUUGCAGUUCAAUAACAAGGGAUUUUGAAUUGGUUCAUUACAACAUAUGGGACAUUCCGUUAUCAAUGCUUCAAAAGACUUCAGUGUAUCAAUUUUUAAAAUAUCUGAAGGAAUGGGCUUUCCAGUGACAACAAAUUGAUUAAUUAAAGAAUUAAAUUGCUCAACCGAAAACUCAAAAUCAUCAAACGUUUCACUGUUAAUGGUCAUAUUGGAAAGAAGCACAGGGUCACAACACGCCUGUCUUAAUCUUAAAAGUAAUCCGAGGAUCGUUGUAUAGUUUCUGAACAGCGUUCCGGCAACUAUGUUUGCAUUAACGGUACUUUUUGCUUUGGUAUAGAGAGAGUCAUAAAUUUUCCUUUCUGAGUCAGAAAAGUCCAAAUAUUCAAUUUUUACGGUUUUUGGAGGUAACGUAACAAUUGAGUUUCCGUUUCUAUCUUUAGUUUCUUUGGUUCUUCUCAAAACUAAAAACUCCAAAAUUGAUUGAACAACAUUCAACGCCUUUAAGACAUCUUUUGACUGAUAUGGCAGACUCACAAAGGUUUGCCAAUAAGUGUAAUUACACCACGGCUCAUAUCGCAUAAAUUUAAUCAAGCUAUACAAGUCAUCCAGUUUAUUGACUAUUGGCGUACCUGUAAUCACCCAACGAUUCUGGGACGAAAUACUAUGACACGCUUUCGCGGUUUUGCUUUCCCUAUUUCUAAUGUUAUGUCCUUCAUCAAGGACAACACGGAACCAAUGCACAGAAAACAAUCCCGAAGAAUGAGAUUGCUGACUAAAUUCUGAAAGUAACACACCAUAACUAGUUAUGAUGAUCAAGGGAGCUGUGGAUGUAUCAAUAACACAAGACUUCAGAUCCAAAGGCUUUUCAGAACCAUAAUAAAUCAUGCUUCUGAAUUUGGUGCCUUGAGACACCUUACAAGCUUCGGAGUGCCAUUGAUCUAACAAUGACAUAGGUGCUACUACCAAAGUCGUCCUACUGGCGACAGGAAGGCUGGGUUUAGAAUGUCUAAAGGCUUCUGGUAUUUCAUCGGUUGAAAAGCAAGGUCUAGAAUGAAUAAGUGAUAAUACUUCAAUCGUUUUGCCUAAGCCCAUUUCGUCUGCUAAAAUUCCACCCCGAUGAUAAGGCAUUGAAUUCGGAAACAACAUUGUAGUUUCGCCAGUAUAUAAGUUAACGUAAAAAUGUGUGUUGUCAUCAUCACUAGAACAUUUAAAGAAUUCAGGGAAUUCUGAGUCCUUUGGAAAUCGAAAUCGACUCCACAAAGGAUGAAGCUUAGGUGCACUACCAUCACUUUGUACGCCCUCUUCUUUACAACACAUCCAAUACAAAGCCUGUUUUUGAUACUCACGAAGAUCAAGAGCAAACGUUGAUGGCUUUGGAGCAGACGGCAAUUCAGCUCCAGAAGUUUUAACUUUGUCAUAUAAUAUAGCAAGUUGGUCGCUAACAACAUCUUCCUCGUCUUCAGUUGAGGAUGGGGUUAGAUCUGAGUUACUCUCGUCCCUCGCUUCAGGCAAUGAACUUGUUUUCAAUAUAUCAUCAAUAUGAAUACUCUCUUUAGUGUUGCAGUCUUCAAGGUCUGGUUCCAAAGCUAUCCAAGUAAACAAACGAAGUAAAUGAUCACGUUUAUUUUGAGCAAAAGAGGCUUUUAAAUGUUCUUCCUCUUCUUGCAUAGAAUUAGUUGCCAAAGUGAAUGGAGAUCGGUUCAAGGACGGAUGAUUGACAUUGAUAAAACAAUAAACUUGUAAAGUGACAUUACUCCCAAAUCUAAUUAUAUUGUCGGAGUAAAUGCAUAUGGCUUCAAAUGACCAAAAACCUUGCUCCAUCAACGUUGAAAUAACAGAAGCGACUUCAGUAGGUAAUUUACCAAUUUCAUGAUGAUCUGAAUUACAAAAUCUAACGAUAUUGCUAUAGCAUGAAGAAUUAAUGCUUAGCAAUUUUGAUUUUUUCCUAGAAUUUCUCGAUUGUGAUUUUAUGGAAAGUUUUUGACGUUCUAAAUAGAUCCUUUCGCCAGCCUGGAGUGUUCGAGUACCUGAUGCAGUUGAAUAAGCCUCCACACCAAAGCAUCCGAUAUACUUCAUCAACUCAUUCUUCUUCAUAAUAAAGUCCAGCGGAGUAAGAGCAUUCCGUGAUUGCUUCUUCAUCAUUUCUUCUUUAUCAAUAGAUACAUCUUGAACAGAACUGUUAGAUGACAAAUUCAAUGAAGGGCUAACAGCAUUUAAGGCUUUUUUAUUUGUGUUCCUAUUAAUACUAAGAUCCUUAACGGAUACAGUAUUAGAUAAUUGGUCCAUCUGGGUCAACGAGGCAUCAGUGUCUUUCUGACUUUCACUGUCAGGAUUCGAAUUCUUUAUAUUAAAGGAUUCAUCAAAAUACAUAUCAACGGCGACAUUCAAAUCUCCAUUCGAGGUUUUCCAAAUUUUUUGAGCUAAAAAUUCCGAAAUUGUUUUUUCACCAGUGACAGAUAAAAAGUCUAAAACCCAUGACUCUGAAACUCCACUAUCUCCAUAUUCCUUGCCUGCUGCGUUAGCAUUUUCAUGUUGAGAAUUUGUUUUUAAGUCUACGAUGGAAUUCGCAGCAGUUAAAUCAUUCGGUUUAGAGUCAGCUUCAACAUCUGAAUCAAAAAAUCGAGGAGGAGAAUUUUCUUCUAAAGGGGCUUCAUCUAUAAUUUUUUGUACCUUUCUUUUCAUUUUAUUGAGUUUCUUGGUAAUGUUUGCUUAUCCAAACUUUAAGCUACCAAAAACUGUAGAAAUAUAAAAUAACAUGUAUAAUUUGACAACCAAAAAUAAC